CUUGGCGUAUAGAGGCGAUGAAGGACGUGACAGGCUGCGAAAAGCUGUGGUGAGGUGCCAGUAACCUUUGACCCACAGAUAUCCGAAUGGGGAAACCCGCCCCCUUGUGGGGAAUCUCACAGUGAAUACAUAGCUGUGAGAGGCAAACCCGGCGAACUGAAACAUCUAAGUAGCCGGAGGAAAGGACAUCAACAGAGACUCCCUGAGUAGCGGCGAGCGAAAGGGGACCAGGCCAGUGCCAUUAUUGAAUUUACCGGAACCAUCUGGAAAGGUGGGCCAUAGUGGGUGAUAGCCCCGUACGGGACGGAUGAGAUAAUGGACUUGAGUAGGGCGGAACACGUGAAAUUCUGUCUGAACGUGGGAGGACCACCUUCCAAGCCUAAGUACUACUAUACGACCGAUAGUGCACCAGUACCGUGAGGGAAAGGUGAAAAGUACCCCGAUUAGGGGAGUGAAAUAGUACCUGAAACCGAAUGCUUACAAGCAGUUGGAGGGCCCAUUGAGGCCUGACAGCGUACCUUUUGUAUAAUGGGUCAGCGACUUAUGUUCAGUGGCGAGGUUAACCGUUUAGGGGAGCCGUAGGGAAACCGAGUCUUA
rnacentral:rRNA from 1 species